CUUGGACAUAUCUUAAGCCCAUAUUUUCUCAGGGGGGGGGCAACGCCACUGGCUAUCGUAUGUUAUAGACCGUGUUCUUUUAAGCAAAUGUGCCUGCUCAAAAAUGCAAAAUCUUGCAAGCCGUGGACACAAUACUGAAGUGAAGAACGUCAGUAGAUUUACAUGUAGGAAUUUUUUUUGAGCCCUCUCUUUUGCAUGAUUUUUUUUUCUCGAUUGUAUGCUGCAUGAUUUUUUUUCUUUCUCCUUGGAUUGCAGGAAAUUUUUUUUCGAAAUCUUCAAACUCCCCCCC